UUGUGGCAAGGCUGAUGAAAACAAAUUAGAUGUGUGAGAGGCGAAUUCCUCUAUGAGCUUAACAUCGAGGCAUAUUUAUAUUCUGACUUGCCUUUA
rnacentral:snoRNA from 1 species